rnacentral:rRNA from 1 species
AUUGAACGCUGGCGGCAUGCUUUACACAUGCAAGUCGAACGGUAACAGGGAGCUUGCUCCGCUGACGAGUGGCGAACGGGUGAGUAAUGCGUCGGAACGUGCCGAGUAGUGGGGGAUAACGCAGCGAAAGUUGUGCUAAUACCGCAUACGUACUGAGGUAGAAAGUGGGGGACCUUCGGGCCUCACGCUAUUCGAGCGGCCGACGUCUGAUUAGCUAGUAGGUGAGGUAAAGGCUCACCUAGGCGACGAUCAGUAGCGGGUCUGAGAGGAUGAUCCGCCACACUGGGACUGAGACACGGCCCAGACUCCUACGGGAGGCAGCAGUGGGGAAUCUUGGACAAUGGGCGAAAGCCUGAUCCAGCCAUGCCGCGUGCAGGAUGAAGGCCUUCGGGUUGUAAACUGCUUUUGUACGGAACGAAAAGGUUUGGCCUAAUAAGCUGAGCUCAUGACGGUACCGUAAGAAUAAGCACCGGCUAACUACGUGCCAGCCGCCGCGGUAA